GAGAAGGAUCACGCAGGAACUCUAACUCCCGCUCCCAGAAUUAAUCACCUGGCCCUCUCAUUAUAG